AGCGAACGCUGGCGGCAGGCCUAACACAUGCAAGUCGAACGAAGUCUUCGGACUUAGUGGCGGACGGGUGAGUAACACGUGGGAACAUACCUUUUGGUUCGGAACAACUCAGGGAAACUUGAGCUAAUACCGGAUGAGCCCUUAGGGGGAAAGAUUUAUCGCCGAAAGAGCGGCCCGCGUUAGAUUAGCUAGUUGGUGAGGUAAAGGCUCACCAAGGCUACGAUCUAUAGCUGGUCUGAGAGGAUGAUCAGCACACUGGGACUGAGACACGGCCCAGACUCCUACGGGAGGCAGCAGUGGGGAAUCUUGCGCAAUGGGCGAAAGCCUGACGCAGCCAUGCCGCGUGAAUGAUGAAGGUCUUAGGAUUGUAAAAUUCUUUUACCAGGGACGAUAAUGACGGUACCUGGAGAAAAAGCCCCGGCUAACUUCGUGCCAGCCGCCGCCGUAAAAC
rnacentral:rRNA from 1 species